rnacentral:rRNA from 1 species
UACGGAGGGUGCAAGCGUUGUCCGGAUUUAUUGGGUUUAAAGGGUGCGUAGGCGGCUUUUUAAGUCAGUGGUGAAAGACAACAGCUCAACUGUUGCAGUGCCAUUGAUACUGAAGAGCUUGAGUACAGAUGAGGUAGGCGGAAUUUAUGGUGUAGCGGUGAAAUGCAUAGAUACCAUAAAGAACACCUAUUGCGAAGGCAGCUUACUAAGCUGUAACUGACGCUGAGGCACGAAAGCCAGGGGAGCGAACGGG